rnacentral:lncRNA from 10 species
AUGGAAAAUUUGAUGCUGCAGAUGAGAGAGUGGAUAAUUGCUGGAGUGAUGCUUUUUAACAAGCAAGAGAAGAAGGGAUCCAGUGUGCGAGAGGAGGGGCUGGCCUCAGACAGACACAUGGACGAUUCAUUCAUCAUGAGAGGAGGAAAGUGGGGGAAAAAUGAUGUCAUCAGCUGAAAGUGAGAAGCAAGGAGAACUGCGUGCAGGCCUGAAAAGAAAGGAGGCGUGAUGCAGUCAUCUGCCAGAGGGAGUAGGAGAGGCGACUUGCCUGGGGAAAACAGUGUAGGAUUGCUGGGCAGCAAUAUGGCAGCAAUGUGGUCCUCUGAGGAACGGCCACGUGAGGACACAG